AUUGAACGCUGGCGGCAGGCCUAACACAUGCAAGUCGAGCGGAGCGGCGGACGGGUGAGUAAUGCCUAGGAAUCUGCCUGGUAGUGGGGGAUAACGUCCGGCAAAGGGCGCUAAUACCGCAUACUAUCAGAUGAGCCUAGGUCGGAUUAGCUAGUUGGUGGGGUAAAGGACUACCAAGGCGACGAUCCGUAACGGGUCUGAGAGGAUGAUCAGUCACACUGGAACUGGGAGACGGUCCAGACUCCUACGGGAGGCAGCAGUGGGGAAUAUUGGACAAUGGGCGAAAGCCUGAUCCAGCCAUGCCGCGUGUAUGAAGAAGGCCCUAGGGUUGUAAAGUACUUUCAGUCGGGAGGCGUUACCGACAGAAGAAGCACCGGCUAACUCCGUGCCAGCCGCCGCGGUAAUUC
rnacentral:rRNA from 1 species